ACAGGUGCUGCAUGGCUGUCGUCAGCUCGUGUCGUGAGAUGUUGGGUUAAGUCCCGCAACGAGCGCAACCCUUGUCAUUAGUUGCUACGAAAGGGCACUCUAAUGAGACUGCCGGUGACAAACCGGAGGAAGUGGGGAUGACGUCAAGUCCUCAUGGCCCUUAUAGGUGGGGCUACACACGUCAUACAAUGGCUGGUACAAAGGGUUGCCAACCCGCGAGGGGGGAGCCAACCCCAUAAAGCCAGUCGUAGUCCGGAUCGCAGUCUGCAACUCGACUGCGUGAAGUCGGAAUCGCUAGUAAUCGCGGAUCAGCACGCCGCGGUGAAUACGUUCCCGGGCCUU
rnacentral:rRNA from 1 species